rnacentral:rRNA from 1 species
AGAGCUCAUCAUUGGAAUCUGGCAGUGUUGCACUGUCCGAGUUGUAGAUGAGGAGUAGUCCGUCUGGACUGCAUGGCGUCCAAGUACAAUAGGCCGUCAGUGGGACAUCAUAGAGGGUGACAAUCCCGUCCUUGACGCUAAUGUGCAAGUCUAUUACGAUGGCUAUCUCAGAGAGUCGAGCAGUUUGGGAUUUGCUGCUUAAACAUGGGAGGUAGAUUCCUUCUAAAGCUAAAUACAGGCGAGAGACCGAUAGAGAACAAGUACCGCAAGGGAAAGAUGAAAUAGCACUCUGUGAAGGGAGUCAAAAGGCGUGAAAUUGUUGCGAGAGAAGCGAUUCAAGUCAGCGUAGCUAGGCCCAUCAAGCGUCUUCGCUUUGGACUAGCUUUGCCAGCGGUCUUGUCCCUUAAAGAGACUUGACUUGUAAUAUGUCCAGCCUGGCGUGCACAGGCAGCCCCUUCUGGGGGCCAGUGGCAUGGCUGGUGGAAUGGCUUGCAAUCGACCCGUCUUGAAACACGGACCAAGGAGUCUAACAUGUAUGCGAGUAUAAGGGUGGCAAACCCGUAUGCGCAAUGAAAGUGAUUUUCGGUGAUUGAGAAUGGCCUGAUGACCAGACAAGCAAUACAUGUCCCUCGUACGGCCAUUGCCCAAGUUCCGUGGUAGAUCCCACGAACAUGGAGUUGGAGCAUACAUGCUAGGACCCGAAAGAUGGUGAACUAUGCCUGGACAAAGCGAAGCCAAAGGAAACU